AUUGAACGCUGGCGGCAUGCCUUACACAUGCAAGUCGAACGGCAGCACGGGUGCUUGCACCUGGUGGCGAGUGGCGAACGGGUGAGUAAUACAUCGGAACAUGUCCUGUAGUGGGGGAUAGCCCGGCGAAAGCCGGAUUAAUACCGCAUACGAUCUACGGAUGAAAGCGGGGGACCUUCGGGCCUCGCGCUAUAGGGUUGGCCGAUGGCUGAUUAGCUAGUUGGUGGGGUAAAGGCCUACCAAGGCGACGAUCAGUAGCUGGUCUGAGAGGACGACCAGCCACACUGGGACUGAGACACGGCCCAGACUCCUACGGGAGGCAGCAGUGGGGAAUUUUGGACAAUGGGCGAAAGCCUGAUCCAGCAAUGCCGCGUGUGUGAAGAAGGCCUUCGGGUUGUAAAGCACUUUUGUCCGGAAAGAAAUCAUUGGCCCUAAUACGGUCGGGGGAUGACGGUACCGGAAGAAUAAACACCGGCGAACUACGU
rnacentral:rRNA from 1 species